GACGAACGCUGGCGGCGUGCUUAACACAUGCAAGUCGAACGAUGAAGCCCUUUCGGGGGUGGAUUAGUGGCGAACGGGUGAGUAACACGUGGGUAACCUGCCCUGUACCCUGGGAUAAGCCUGGGAAACUGGGUCUAAUACUGGAUAUGACUCCACGGUGCAUGUCGUGGGGUGGAAAGCCUUGUGCGGCUGAGGAUGGGCCCGCGGCCUAUCAGCUUGUUGGUGGGGUGAUGGCCACCAAGGCGACGACGGGUAGCCGGCCUGAGAGGGCGACCGGCCACACUGGGACUGAGACACGGCCCAGACUCCUACGGGAGGCAGCAGUGGGGAAUCUUGCGCAAUGGGCGAAAGCCUGACGCAGCGACGCCGCGUGAGGGAUGACGGCCU
rnacentral:rRNA from 1 species